rnacentral:rRNA from 1 species
GACGAACGCUGGCGGCGUGCCUAAUACAUGCAAGUCGAACGGAGCGGCUGACGGAUGAGUAAUGCCUAGGAAUCUGCCUGGUAGUGGGGGAUAACGUCCGGCAACGGGCGCUAAUACCGCAUACUCUCAGAUGAGCCUAGGUCGGAUUAGCUCGUUGGUGGGGUAAAGGCCUACCAAGGCGACGAUCCGUAGCUGGUCUGAGAGGAUUAUCAUGCACACUGGAACUGUGACACGGUCCAGACUCCUACGGGAGGCAGUAGUGGGGAAGAUUGGACAAUGGGCGAAAGCAUGAUCAAGCCAUGCCGCGUGUUUGAAGAAGGUCUGCGGAUUGUAAAGCACUGUAAGUUGGGAGGCGUUACCAACAGAAUAAGCACCGGCUAACUUCGUGCCAGCAGCCGCGGUAAUAC